rnacentral:rRNA from 1 species
GACGAACGCUGGCGGCGUGCUUAACACAUGCAAGUCGAACGCUGAAGCUUGGUGCUUGCACUGGGUGGAUGAGUGGCGAACGGGUGAGUAAUACGUGAGUAACCUGCCCUUGACUCUGGGAUAAGCCUGGGAAACUGGGUCUAAUACUGGAUACGACAUGCCACUGCAUGGUGGUGUGUGGAAAGGGUUUUACUGGUUUUGGAUGGGCUCACGGCCUAUCAGCUUGUUGGUGGGGUAAUGGCCUACCAAGGCGACGACGGGUAGCCGGCCUGAGAGGGUGACCGGCCACACUGGGACUGAGACACGGCCCAGACUCCUACGGGAGGCAGCAGUGGGGAAUAUUGCACAAUGGGCGGAAGCCUGAUGCAGCGACGCUGCGUGAGGGAUGACGGCCUUCGGGUUGUAAACCUCUUUCAGCACGGAAGAAGCGAGAGUGACGGUACGUGCAGAAGAAGCGCCGGCUAACUACGUG